AACCUUAUCAUUUAGAGGAAGGAGAAGUCGUAACAAGGUUUCCGUAGGUGAACCUGCGGAAGGAUCAUUGUCGAAACCUGCCUAGCAGAACGACCCGCGAACCCGUUCACCAAUGCUCGGGGGGGCGGGGGGCUCUUCUGCCCCGCGCCCUCCCGCGCGCCCGGGGCCGCGGCGCAACCGCGCGCUCCGGGCGCCCCUAACGAACCCCGGCGCAAGUCGCGCCAAGGAAAACGCAAAGAAAGAGCGUGCUCCAACGGGCCCGGAGACGGUGCCUUCCGGUGGAGCUGCGCGAUCUUCGACAAGUCUAAACGACUCUCGGCAACGGAUAUCUCGGCUCUCGCAUCGAUGAAGAACGUAGCGAAAUGCGAUACUUGGUGUGAAUUGCAGAAUCCCGUGAACCAUCGAGUCUUUGAACGCAAGUUGCGCCCGAAGCCGUCAGGUUGAGGGCACGUCUGCCUGGGCGUCACACACCGUUGCCCCCCCAGACCCGGUCGUCCCCUCCGGGGGCGCCGAGAGACGGGGGGCGGAAGAUGGCCUCCCGCGAGCGAUCGCGCUCGCGGUUGGCCCAAAAAUCUGUCCUCGGCUGCGAGCGCCGCGGCAUUCGGUGGUUGUCGACUACUCGGUUGCCCCGCCGCGCGCGCUGCGUCUGUGCCUUGCGACCCCCCACGGAGGGACCCCAUCGCGUCUCGAAGGAUUCGCUUCCAACGCGACCCCAGGUCAGGCGGGGCUACCCGCUGAGUUUAAGCAUAUCAAUAA
rnacentral:rRNA from 1 species